AAAAGACUUAGUCCUAACCUUGCUAUUGAUUUUUGCUAGACAUAUACAUGCAAGUAUCCGCAUUCCAGUGAAAAUGCCCUAAUGCCUUACUAAGCAAAAGGAGCAGGUAUCAGGCUCACCCAAGAGUAGCCCAAAACACCUUGCUAAAGCCACGCCCCCACGGGUAUUCAGCAGUAAUUAACCUUAAGCAAUAAGUGAAAACUUGACUUAGCCAUAGCAAUCUUUCAGGGUUGGUAAAUCUUGUGCCAGCCACCGCGGUCAUACAAGAAACCCAAGUCAAUAGCCCUCGGCGUAAAGAGUGGCCAUAUGUUAUCUUCAACAACUAAGAUCAAAAUGUAACUAAGCUGUCAUAAGCCUAUGAUCCACUUAAGCCCAUCUAAACCAUCUUAGCCACAUGACCAAUUUAAACCCACGAAAGCCAGGGUACAAACUGGGAUUAGAUACCCCACUAUGCCUGGCCCUUAAUUCAGAUACUCACAUACCCUCGUAUCCGCCCGAGAACUACGAGCACAAACGCUUAAAACUCUAAGGACUUGGCGGUGCCCUAAACCCACCUAGAGGAGCCUGUUCUAUAAUCGAUAAUCCACGAUCCACCCAACCACCCCUUGCUCUAAUCAGCCUACAUACCGCCGUCGCCAGCCCACCUAAAAUGAAAGACCAACAGUGAGCCCAAUAGCCCCCGCUAACAAGACAGGUCAAGGUAUAGCCCAUGGGGUGGAAGAAAUGGGCUAAUUUUUCUAACAUAGAAUAAACGAAAAGGGACAUGAAACUCGUCCCUAGAAGGAGGAUUUAGCAGUAAAAUAGGACCAUACUUGCCUAAGCCUACUUUAAGAUGGCUCUGGGGCACGUACAUACCGCCCGUCACCCUCUUCAUAGGCCACAAACACCGAUAAAUAAUACCCACCCAUAAGCCAAAGACGAGGUAAGUCGUAACAAGGUAAGCGUACCGGAAGGUGCGCUUAGACUAU
rnacentral:ncRNA from 1 species